CCAGAAUUCGUGAUUGGGGCCCUACGGGGCGCAGCAGGCGCGAAAACUUUACAAUGCGGGCAACCGUGAUAAGGGGACACCGAGUGCCAGCAACAUUUGCUGGCUGUCCACAUGCGUAAAAUGCAUGUGUUAGCAAGGGCCGGGCAAGACCGGUGCCAGCCGCCGCGGUAACACCGGCGGCCCGAGUGGUGAUCGUUAUUAUUGGGUCUAAAGGGUCCGUAGCCGGUUUGGUCAGUCCUCCGGGAAAUCUGUCAGCUCAACUGAUAGGCUUUCGGGGGAUACUGCCAGACUUGGAACCGGGAGAGGUAAGAGGUACUACAGGGAUAGGAGUGAAAUCUUGUAAUCCCUGUGGGACCACCUGUGGCGAAGGCGUCUUACCUAGAACGGGUUCGACGGUGAGGGACGAAAGCUGGGGGCACGAACCGGAUUAGAUACCCGGGUAGUCCAGCCGUAAACGAUGCUCGCUAGGUGUCAUGCAUGGUGCGACCGUGUAUGUGCCGUAGGGAAGCCGUGAAGCGAACCACCCUGGAAUACGCCGAACAGCUAUAAA
rnacentral:rRNA from 1 species